CCUACGGGAGGCAGCAGUGGGGAAUAUUGGGCAAUGGGCGCAAGCCUGACCCAGCAACGCCGCGUGAAGGAAGAAGGCUUUCGGGUUGUAAACUUCUUUUCUCAGGGACGAAGAAAGUGACGGUACCUGCGGACUAAGCCACGGCUAACUACGGGCCAGCAGCAGCUGGAAUACGUAGGUGGCAGGCGUUAUCCGGAUUUAUUGGGUGUAAAGGGCGCGUAGGCGGGAGCGCAAGUCAGACGUGAAAACUCAGGGGACAACCCUUAGCCUGCCUUUGAAACUGGGUUUCUUGAGUGCUGGAGAGGUAAUCGGAAUUCGGUGUGUAGCGGUGAAAUGCGUAGAUAUAAGGAGGAACACCAGUGGCGAAGGCGGAUUGCUGGCCAGUAACUGACGCUGAGGCGCGAAAGCGUGGGGAGCAAACAGGAUUAGAUACCCUAGUAGUC
rnacentral:rRNA from 1 species